AAUAAUAUGGGAAGGUA
rnacentral:sRNA from 1 species